CGUUUCUGUAAGUGCAUGUAUAUAUACUUGAAAUUAGCCAACUAACUUGACCAAAAAGAAACCCAAAUUCAUCCCCAUGCAGCCCUUUUAGUUGUAACCCAAUUGGAAGUCCAAUUAAGUAUUAAAGUUGAAUUCCAAGGCAUGUCCAAUUGAGGCCCAUUAAUCAAUUAUUUCUCUCCAAAUACUCAAUCUUCAAAGCGAAGCAAAUCAGUCCUUCCAUUUCUUUUUAUUCGUAGACUUUCACCUAUUAAACAUAAAACAUAACAAUUUAGAAUGUAUUUUGUCAAAAGACUAUCAAAUAUCGCUAUUUUAGAGUUCCGAAUAAGUAUAUAAAAUAC
rnacentral:lncRNA from 1 species